UCCUUGUUUGUGUUUCAUUGUCCCAUCAUGCUUCUCCUGUGAUUGAUUUAUAAGAAGUGUUUGAUCAGAUUGAAAAUUAGCAUAUGAGAUUAUGAAUGUGAGAAACCUACUUGUAUAAUUCUUUAAGUUGCUACUUUUGUGAAAAAUUCAAUUUUUUUUUUAUUUUGGUUUCUAUCAUUUUGUUCUGAUUUCGGUUUGGAGAAAGCUUUUAUAUGGUGUUGGUAAAUUCAGUUUCUGAGUCUGAAGCACUUCAAAUUCAAUAAGAAAUUGAUAAAUUAGAUAGAAACCCCAGUUGUUUGGUUGUGAGGAAGAAAUUUUUGUUUUCAGUACCUGAUGAUGUGAAAACUGUUGUUUGGUUUUACUUUGGGAACUACUCUUCUAAGGCCCUGUUCGUUUGCUCACCCAGGUGAUCCAUCUGGGUGAAGAUGCAAAUUGAUGUUCGUUUAAUGCAUUAUAAAGCUACAUCCAGAUGGAUCACCCAACUGAAUUUUUAGAAACUCAUCUCAAAUUCACACCCAAAUGAAGGUGAGUCUUGAUGGUGCAUCUGGAUGCAGAUGCAUCUAGUUCAGUCCAAAAUAAUAAAUGGCAAAAAUGACUUUUUAAAAUAAAAAUAUUAUUUUCAAACCGUAAAUUCUAUUUUUUUGCAUAUACAUUUUUCCGCUAUAACCAAAAAAUGCAUUUUCUCGCAAAAACGUAAAAACACACUUUCCCGCCAAAACCGCAAGAUGCAUUUUUCGCAAAAAAAACACAAAACACACAUUUUCAUUAAAACACAUUUUUCGGCUAAACCAGUAAAACCACACUUUUCGACCAAAACCCAAAAAACGCAUAUUCCCGCCAAAACUCCAAAAGCAUUUUCCCGCCAAAACUCCAAAAGCAUUUUCCGGCCAAAACCGCAAAAAGCAUUUUCCUGUUGGCCGGAAACAACGCAUUUUCUCGCCAAAACAAAAAAAAAACGCAUUUUUCGCCAAAACAGAAAAACACAAUUUUCUCGCCAAAACCGGAAAACAUAAUAUUCCCGCCAAAACUGGAAAACGGAAUUUUCCCGCCAAAACCAGAAAACGAAAUUUUCCCACCAAAACCGGAAAACGCAUUUUCCCGCCAAAACCAGAAAACUGUAUUUUCCCGCUAAAAUCGGAAAACGUAUUUUCCCGCUAAAACCGGAAAACGUAUUUUCCCGCCAAAACCGGAAAAAAGUAUUUUCCCGCCAAAACCGGAAAAAUGUAUUUUCCCGCCAAAACCGGAAAAUGUAUUUUCCCACCAAAACCGGAAAAUGAAAUUUUCCCGCCAAAACCAGAAAAAUGCAUUUUCCCGCCAAAACCAGAAAAAUGCAUUUUCCUGCCAAAACUGGAAAAAUGUAUUUUCCCGCCAAAACCGGAAAAAUGUAUAUUUUUUUUUCCGCGAAAACCGGAAAAAUGUAUUUUCCCGCCAAAACCGAAAAAAAACUUAUUUUCCCGCCAAAAUCGGAAAACACAUUUUCCCGCCAAAACCGGAAAAAGCAUUUUCCCGCCAAAACCGGAAAAGCACAUUUUCCCGCCAAAACCAGAAAAAUGUAUUUCCCGCUAAAACCGGAAAAAAUGUAUUUUCCCGCUAAAACGCGAAAAAUAACUUUUACCGCCAAGUGAAAAAAAACUUUUCCCGUCAAAAAAACACUUUUCCCGCCAAAACUUCAAAACACACUUUUUCCGUCCAAACCGCAAAAACGUAUUUUUCCACCCAGCCCAUAAAACGUAUUUUUUCCGUCAAAACCAUAAAAUGCACUUUUUCGCGAAAAACACAUAUUUCCUCAAAAACCGCAAAAAUAUUUUCGGCCAAAACCGUAAAAAUGCUAUUUUUCCGCCGAAACGUAAAAAAUUAUAUUUUAGUCAUCUUAUUAACAAGUUCACCUGGAUGCAGAUGGAAAUUAAAAAAUGACAAGCAAACGAACAUAGUUGCAUUCAGAUGAUUUAUCUGGAUGCAUGGACGAAAUGAAGAAACGAACAACACCCAGAUGGAGCAUCUGGAUAAGACAUCUAGAUAGACCAUCUGGAUGCACCUUCGAGAUGUACAAACGAACAGGGCCUAAGUCUUUUUGUUUGGUGUGUUUUUAGGGAGCAAAGAACAAAAUGGGAGAAAGGCAAAAACUAGUUUUGAGAAAUGAAAGCUAGAGCUUUGCUGUUUUCAACAAUUCGCACGUUAUGUUUAUGUAAUCGUAUUCAUUUGUUUCUUUCUCUUUUUUUUUUCUUUCAUUUUGUUCACGACUGAAAAACUGGACUCAUCUUGAAUGUAGAUCAAACUAAUUUAGAAACUUGUGGCGGAGGAUUUCAUUGAGUCGCCACUUUAAUAAUCUCAAACAUAUUUAUAAAGAAAUAAAAUCAAACAGGUUCGAUGGAUACAAAAAAAAAGUUAUAGCCGGCGGUUUAAAGGUUAGAUGCACUGCAUCAAGUCUCCCCGGGUAGGAGAAGAUUCUUCCCUGAAUCUGGAACCUCAUUGUCACCACGGAACAAAGACAUGCACUUAACACUGAAGACAUUGGAUGUAUUGAUACGAGGGGGAAGUUGUACCCGACACGCAUUGGCAUUUAUGCGUUCCAAAACCUACACAUGACCUAUCUUUCGCAAUAUGAGCUUAUUAUACUCAUGUGAAGGAAUUCUAUCCUUCGUCAUUACGACUCAAACCUGAUCACCAGGCUGAAAGUGUAACUCACAUUUGCGCUUGUGUGCUCAUUCCUUAUAGGCGAGGGCCGUAGUCUCCAAGUUCCGACCAACCAAUUUAUGCACCUCCUGGAGCGAGGUGACAAAGUCAGUAGUACCUACAUGAAGACGAGUUAAGUCUUGUCUUUACUAUGAUUUCCGAUUUGAUCAACGAGCAGAGCCUGGAUGUGAUUCGUUUUCCCAAAUACUAAUUUUCGGAUCUAACGAAUUGUAGAUUGUUUUUACUAUGCUUUUAGAGUUUUUUUCUUUUUCUAUUUAACUUAUAAUAAUUAACUUUAUUAAAGUAAUAAAGCACAAUGAGACGCAAAUGUAGUCCUACCAUAUAAUUAUGCGUUAAGCCAUUUUAAACACUAAAUAUAGAAUGCGUAUCGUUCAUACUCAGCGAACUAAACCAAAGUUGAUCCCACAUGCAAUUAUGUUCAUUGCAGUCCUUGCAAGCAAACCUUUUGUGUAUAAUUAAUUUAUUCUACUUAAGAAAAGAGUUUGAAGAAAAGAUGAUGAUGGCAUGCAAAUGGUACAGUGUGGGAACAAAAUGCGACACUCAUUAUCAACCAAACUCGUCGACCCUUCAAAGAAAAUAAAAAGAGAAUAUAUUUUUAUUAGAAGAAAAAAUCAUUUUAUUUCAGCUUCUCUUAUUUCUGGUGGUCGUGAAAAGGAUGAGUCUUCCACCUACUCCAAUCUGCGAUUUUCAUCCUUCAAAUCUUAUCCACAUGCAAUCCUUAAUCUGGUCAUUUUCAUCUAGUUUUAUGGCAAUCAAUUUAACAAAUAUCUUUUAUUGUUAUCUUUUAUUUAUUAUUAGAAAACGAAUAUAUAUACAUAUAUAUUAUUGUAAUCAUUUUCAUCUGCGUAGCUUAUUGGUAACUUGUUUUCCAAAACUCCUUUUUCCACUGCUCGUCUCUCCACUUGGACUAUGCGUGUUUUACUUGAGGAUGCAUGGUGCAUCUAGAUAAGGAUUAUGAAAUUUACGAUUUAAUAAAAGUUGGUUCCAGACUUAGAAAUACUAACUUACAAAGGUAUUCUACAAAUGUGGUUUGCUCAACUAGUUAGAGGGGUCUUAAAGUUCACCGAAUCCGAUUAUUAUUAGAAGCUGGUCUUUGGUCCAUACAGUACAUAUUAAAGGUCCAGAAUUUCUUGCUUACAUAAAAAAACUAACAAAUGUAUCAUAAAUCUGAUUUAAAAAGUUUUAAGUGUACUACAAUCUUGGAAUUCCUUUUAUUUGAUAGUGAAAAGAUCAAGUUAUAGUCUGAUGCUAGUAAUUAUAUAAGUAUGCUAUAUUUAGCAUUAUACAUUUAUAAUCUUGAAGUUCAUGUCCUAAUCCAUAGGUUUAGACUAUUUGAACCCUUAACGCUGACUAAUAUAUUUACAUUUUAUAAGACAUAAAUAUAGGGAUAUUAUAUUUCAUAUUCUUAUCUGAAGAGAUAACCUUUCUUGAAGGUUGAUAUUCUUUUCUUAGUCUACAUCCAUAUGUAAUGAUUAAGAUGCCCUUUUCUACAAGUUCACUCCAAAACUAGAUAAUUGUUGGGGGAAAAACGACAAAUGAAAACGUGUUUAGUAACUUUGCUUACAAUUAAACCAUAUGUGUUCGUAUGUGACGGCCACAUGAUUUAUGGUCUUCCGUACUUAUGUGUCCCUCUCAGCCUUUGCUUAUUGAUAUCUCCCUCUACAUUAAGCUAAAUCGGGUUGUAAAAUUUUGACCAAAUUAAGUCAGUCUCUACAUAUUCUGAAAUAAACCGAAAUAACUAAUAAGGAUGGUUGCAUAUUCUCAUUGUUUAGGUUCUGAACGGCUUUGACAGUUGUGAGUCUUAAAACCCACACUAGAUAUUUUAGAAUAUUAUUUGUAAAUUAGAGAACAAGAUCUUUUGGGUAAUAUUAUCCUUAGAAUAAAAUAGAUUUGUAUAAUGAUAUUAACGAGUUUACAAGUGUUUUUGAAUAAAAAUAAGACUAGUCGUCUAGUCUAAUGAAGAACAAGAUCUAAAACAAGUUCGAAGCGUUGAGGGAACUAGAGCUCGAGGUAAAGGUGAUUAUGUGUGUAUGCGGGAAUCAAUAUGUCUGUGUCCCCCUCUUUUCCGUUCUCCUCCCCUUAUUAUACACUAUUUAUAAUCGUUAGCCUCCUCCGAUAUCUUCUCCCUUUUCUUGUUGCUCGAUUCUUAAUUUCGAAACUGCAUCCAUCCUCGUUAGCACAUAUAUAGGUACUGUUGAAACAAAAUUGAGCUGAUUCUAUGUCCCAGUCUAGCCGACAUCGAGCUUCCAAAAGCAUAUAAAUGAUCCUGACCUCCUUACCUGUGGCCGACUCAAAAUCCAACUCCACGAAUAUUGCAACUUGCCUAGGAAGUUCGUUGGUUCGAUUUCGCGGAGUAAAGCCGUGAUUCGUUAUUCCUCUAUGCGACCUCACUUGUCAUAGAGGUCAACUCAGAACGUUGUGUUUCUGGGGAUACACUAAUGUAAAAUUUGUGCCAAAAUAAAGCAUUAUAGGUUUUGCAUCAAAUUGGAUAACUAAUCUUAGAGUUGAUUCUUACUUUUUGGUGAAAGAGAGUUGAUUCUGUUUUUUUUUCUAAUGUGAUGACCCGAAAUAAAAAAUGAUAAGAUAUUUUAUUUUGCAUAUUCAUAAGCAAACAUAUAAAACUUCAUCUUUGGUAUAUAAAAUACAAACUAUUUAGCCAUUAAAUACGAAGUUUACAAUCAAUCUUACAAAUGUUUAAAAUAUAUAACACUUCUUUAACAUUUAAUAAUGAAAAAUUCUUAAUCUAAAAUUAUAUUUUCUUACAUGAAUUCAAUUCAAAUUUUAUUUAUCAUCAUCUACUUAUCAUAUACUACUAUCUAUGUAUAAACUAUAUUAAUAGUUAAAAUCUAAUAUGUAUAUAUAGUAAAAUUAUCUUUAAUUUGGACAUAUUUUUUUUACCUUUUUAAAACAAGAUAUAUUUUAAAUUUAAGAAUUAAAAUUUUCUGUAUCUAUGUAUAAAUUAUUGUUUUAGACUAUUGUAAAUGAUGCUAAAAUAAAAAGAAUUAUUAACAGCUUGCUAGAUACAUUAUACAUGUUCAAUACAUUGGUAUUUAUUUAUACACAAAAAGAUUCCGAUUUUAUAUAGGAAAUAAUCUCUGAGAUUACUGUUUACAUAUUUAAUGUUAUCAAAAUAUUUUGUUUUUUGUAAACUAUGUUAUCACAAUAUAUUCACCAUUCAAUAUAUGAAGCAAGAACAUUGCCAGUAGAAUACGAUAUGGGAUGGGAUGAAGAACAGACAAAUAGCUUGGUUUGACAAAUACAUUCGAAACUGUUUGAUUUAUUCAUAUAUUCAUUAACUUGGUAUUUAAUUAUUUACUAGGUGGAUGUCCACGAUUUCACGGAUUAAAUGUUUUUUAAUAAUAUAUUUAUUAUAACUUUCAAAUUAAAAUAUGUUUUUAUCAUUAUGUAUUUUCUUAUUAAAUAUUUUUCUAAGAAUAAAUUUUUUUUGAAAAAGAUAAUAUGACUAUUUUAAAUAUUUUUUGAUAUUUUGUUUUGAUAAUUUUACUAAAAUUAGUUAUAUACAAUAUUCAAGAUUCAGUUUUUAAUAAAACUAUUUAGGUUUUGAAGGUAUAUAAUGUUGAAAAUUUUGAUUUUAAAUAAUUUAUAGCUAAAGUUUUAUGUCUUUAAUAAGCUUAAAAAGUUAAAACAAUAUAAUUGUAACAGAUUCUCUACAUAUACAUAUCCAAUCACAUAUGCUAUAUCAAUUCCAUAAAUUAUUUUUGAAAUAUUUUAUAUAGUUUAUAAAUACAAAUAUAAGGCUUUAUAUAAGAAUAUAAAAUUAUUCUAUCAAUUUUAAUAAACUUUUUUUUAUUAUAUUAUGUAGUUUAUAAAUAUAAAAAUCGAUCAAACAUCAUUACUUUUUCUAUAGUUUUAACAAUUAGUUACCAUAAAUAAUUAUUUGUAAUAUUAUGUAAAUUAUUUGGUAAGUGAUAUUGAUUGUUUAUAGAUUUUUUUUGUCUUUUUAAAUCUAAUUAAAAUAAAUAUAAAUUAAAAAUUAUCGACCAUUCAAUUUAUAACUUUUUUAAAGAUUUCAUCAAUGAUCGACAAAUAAGAAAAAAUCUCUUAAAUAAUUUUUCAAUUAAUAUAUAGUAGGAUAGUAGGAUAAAAUUAUAAAAUAGAUUGUAUAGAUGACUAAUAUAUAGUCUCUAUUAGUAUAAAUGUUUAUAAUAAUUUAAAUAUAUAAUAAGCCAAGAUAAAUAAUUUUAUAAUUUUUUUUGUAAUUUUAUAAAACAUAUUAUGUGAACUUUAUAAGACGUUAAUAAUUAUUAUAACAGUUUAUAUAAAAUAUAAUGUUUUAAAUAAGAAUAUAAAAUCAUUAUAUUAAUUUAUAUAAACUGUUUGUUGUUUAUUAUUUUAUGUAUUUUAUAAAUAUAAAAAAUUAAUCAACAUUAUUAUUCUUUCUAUAAUUUUAAUAAUUAUUUACCAUAAAUAAUAUUAUGUAGAUUAUUUGGCAAAUGAUAUUAAUUGGUUACAAACUUACUUUUUUAGAACUAAUUAAAAUAAAUAAAAAUUAAAAAUCUUCGACCAAUCAAAUUAUAACAAUUUUGUAAGAGUUCACUUAUGAUUGAACGUCAGCAAAAAAUUAAUAAAAUAAUUUCUCAAUUAAUAUAUUUGUAUAUUCAUUAACUUGGUAUUUAAUUAUUUAUACACAAAACAAGGUGUCGUUGAUAGUUUGGAAGAUAGUUAAAAAUAACAGUAUUUAUUAUAAUAUCUCGCGUUUAAUCACUAUCCACCUUAAUCUUAAUUACACACUCACCCUUUGAUCCUGAUUUUUCGAUAGACGUUAAAGCCAAAAAAAAAGUAACGAGAAAGAAAGAGCCACGAGGGCACAAGGCCUUGACGCCAAAAAAAUAAAUAAACAGUUUUAUUUUAUAAUCACGAGCGUGUUUCUGUGUAUAAAUGUAACACACAUCUUCUUCUUUCCUCCUUCUCUGCCAUCUUUCUCUCCACUCCCAAGAUUAACAUUAACCAACAAAAGAAUCAAAUCCUCUCAUCUUCGCUCUCCUCCAACCAUCUUAUCAUUUCAGAUGACGCAUCUCAACAAAAAACCCAGGUUAGAGAAGAACCUCACGGUUAACGUCAACCACAUCGACGACUUACCUGACGAUCUCGUCUUCUCUAUCCUCCGCAAACUCAGUUCCUCCGCUUCUUGUCCCGCCGAUUUCUUCAACGUUCUCAUCACGUAAGUCAGUCAGGCUUCUUUUCCUUAAACCACCCGAUUCUUUAUUUUGACGAACUCUCUUUCGCCGUUUCAGAUGCAAGAGACUGAACCGGUUGGGUUUGCAUCCUCUGGUUUUAUCCAGAGCCGGAACUCAAACCCUAGCCGUCACGGCGGAGAAAUGGUCUGACUCCGCCCACAGAUUCCUCAAACUCUGUGUUAAUGCCGGAAACAUCGACGCUUGCUACGUUCUCGGAAUGGUUCGUCUUCAAACCUCCUUCUCUCUCUCUCUGUGAUGUUGAUUUUUUUUUUUUUUGCGCAGAUCCGUUUUUACUGUCUUCAAAACCCAGUGAGCGGCGCUUCUUUAAUGGCUAGAGCCGCGAUUAAGUCUCACGCGCCGGCGCUUUACUCGCUGUCGGUGAUUCAGUUCAACGGGAGCGGCGGUACCAAAUCCGACAAGAAUCUACGCGCCGGAGUCGCUCUCUGCGCGCGUUCCGCUUACCUCGGCCACGUCGACGCGCUCAGAGAGCUCGGUCACUGCCUACAAGACGGUUACGGCGUUCCUCGCGACGUCGCCGAAGGACGUCGGCUUUUGAUUCAGGCGAACGCGAGGGAGCUCGCGGGCUCUCUACGCUCUUACCUCUCUCUCAAAUCGGGAGACGAAACGCUAACCGAACUCAACGGAUUACCGGUUCAGGAGAUUCGUCCAGUAAACCGGUUUUUGAAGGAUUGGUUUGAUUCGGGUCGGGUUGUUUUAGCCGAGGGGUUGAGGAUGUGUUCUCACGGCGGUUGCGGAAGGCCGGAGACUAGGUCGCAUGAGUUCCGGCGAUGUUCGGUCUGUGGGAAAGUGAACUACUGUUCGAGAGGGUGUCAGGCGUUAGAUUGGAGAGUGAAGCAUAAGAUGGAAUGUGCCCCGUUAGAUCUGUGGGUUGGGGCUGCGGCGAUCGGCGUCGGUGACGAGGACGUUGAUGCUGUGGAAGUUGAGAAUCAUGCUGCUCGAUAACUGCUCUGCCUCUUUUUUAGUUUUUAAAUGUUACAUCAGAAAAUGUCUAAUUUUGCCAGCAGUCUGUCUCUGUAACCUUUUGACUUUUUUUUUUUGGUUAUUGAUAAUCGAUCAAUUUUUCAUGUUUUUUUCUUCUUUAUCUUAACAUUUAUGAUUAUAAUUAACAAUUUAUUUUCAAACUAUAUAAAAAUAAAUUAGAUUCUCACCAUUAUAUUUUGUACAAAAUUUAAUUUUAUGAAAUAAAAAUAUUCGAUUUUGGCUUUUGUUUAUUUGUAAACCAAUUUAAUUUUUAUUUUUAUGAUAAAUUAACUCAAAAUUGUUUGGUUUCAAAAAUAUAAUAAAAUUGUCAUAAAUAACUCUAAAACAUGUUUUAUCCCCUAACUAAUAUACAAGGUUCAAAAUGACCAAUAUAAUAUUUACUAAAGGUAAAUAACAAUUAUAUCCAUUUAUUAAAAGAAAAAAAAUAUUUUUUAACAAAUUAAAACGUUUUGAAUUUUUUUUCAAAAUUUUCUUUCAUUUUGAAAGGCAAUUUUUAAUUAAAAAAAAGUUUCAGAAGACUUUCCUGAAAUGUGUGAUUUCCUUCUAAAUUUGAAUUAUAUUCAUAUUUAAGAAAACAUUAAUAAAUGUAUAUAAUAUCGUCCUAAAUUUUAGGAAAAUGUUGAUAAAUAUUUGUAAUUUUUCAUACAAUUUUGGAAAAAAUGUAUUUUUAAAAUACAUUUUAACUAUGUGUUAGGAAGGCUUUGAUGAAUAUAUAUUUAAUAAUAUCUUACUAAAUUUGAAUUAGAUAUAUUUAGUAAGAUAUUUUUGAAUAUGUAUAAAAUAUUCUUAAAGUUUUAGGAAAAUCUUCUUAAAUUUGUAUGAUAUCUUGGUGAAUUUAACUUAUAUGCCUAUUUAGGAAAGAUCACUGAAUAUAUAGCAUCUUUCUAAAAAAUUUGAUGAUAUUUUUAAAGAUGUAAUAUCUUUAUAAAAUAUAGAAAACAUUUGUAAUUGUUGUAUAUAUGAAUAUCAAGUUUGUAAGUAUAUACUUUAGAAAAACAUUUCUAGUAUUUCGAAAUGGCAUACACAUUUAAGAAGAUCUUCCUAAAUAUACAUACAAGUUACAUUCAAAACGUCUAAUUACACAUUUAUGAAUGCAUUACUGAAUUCAGAAUUCUUUUUUACAGAUUUAAGAAAAUAUUUUACAUGAAUGGUCCUCUUAAAAUUCUUAUAAGAAAAACCGUUUAAAAAAGUUAAAAAAAAUCUGAAUUUCUUUUGAAAACAAUAUUGACAAAAUUAAAAAAAACAUAUUUUUUGAUUUUUUGAUUUUAUUAUUUUUGAAUUUUUAGUAUUCAUUUAUUUUUCUAUAUUUAAUAAAGUAUUAAAUAAAUUUUUUAAUCAGAAUUAAAAAAAAAUUUUUUACCAUCAACAUAAAAAGACUCAUUCAAGACUUUGCUAAGCAAUCUGAAAACUUUGUGUACAUGUCAACAAAAUAGGAUGGUUGAGUCCAAUCACUUCGUGUAAUAUUGUCCGUCCUUGAAUUUGAGUCCGGGGUACGUAUAUGAUCACACGAACAUGCUGAAACUUUCAUUUUUCUGUUACAUUUCUUCCAAGUAAGUUGCAAAAGCAAAUCAUUCUUCUGAUUUAGAAACCAUCUUUACCAAAUGAGAAUAAUUUGUCGCAAAAGUCACUUGAAGUUGUCGGAGAGUUUCAUACAUUUCAUCCCUCAGAUUAUGGCCUCAAAUUCCGCAUGCAAAAGUGAUUUACUAGCUCUUGUAUCUCUCGUCCCUGUUAAACCUUCAAAUCUUUCAAGUGUACUAAACCAACCUUACCAGGAGCAUAAAGAUUAUCCUUCCAAGACUUAUCCAUAAAGCACCAUAUUCCUAAUCUUGGGGAGAUUUGUGUGGUAUCAGCCGUAUUGGAUGAUAAUUGUGUGUCCGUUUGUGGCAUUGUCACUUGUGAUUCAUUCCAUAGGAUUGCUUCUCUUUCUUCUAACUAUAAGAUACCACAGAUAUUCUGAAACUUUCCUUUAUUUGUGGUAUUUCUUUCAAGUAAGUUGCAAAAACAGAUCAUUUUUCUGAUUCCAAAACCAUAUUAGUCAAUUGAAAACGAUAUGUUGUACAAUUUACUUGAAAUUGUCGCAUAAUUUUUAUACAUUCCAUCAUUCACAUUAAGGCCUCAAAUUUCUCAUAAAAGGGUGAUUGACUACCUCUUGUAUUUUGUGCUCCCAUUAAACCUACAUAUCCAUCAAGUGUACUAAACAACCUUGCCCAGAGAAUAAAUAUUUAUCCUUCCAAAACUCACCCGUACAGCACCAUCAUCCUAGCCUCGAGAUUUCUUGAUGGCAAAUAUUACUCAUCCGUUUCUUCCCACUAGAGCACGAGCAAGGAGAUACUUAGCUAACUUUUGGUUUCCAAGACGAAGCCAAGAUUUGCUAAGGCAUUGGGCCUGGGAGUUUUGUUCCUUCAUGAUUUUUGUUAGAUUGCAACUCUGGACUUGUCGAUCAUGCGUUUGGCUAGCACCAAAUAUCUAGCCAUACUGCAUCUUUUGCCAGAUAUUCUCUCUGCAUUUGGUUAAUGAUUAGUUCCAAGUCAUUGUAUACCUGAAGGUUUUCUACUCCCAUUUUUCUAGUUAGGGUGAGUUCAACUUUUAAAGCCUCAUACUCGCUUUUGUUAUUGGUCGUUUUGAAGUUGCAUCAUAAUGGCUCUUGAUGUCGUGUCUCCUAUUGGGGAGAUGAGUAUGAUGCCUACUCAUGCCCCUCUCAUGUUUUUGGAUCCGUCUGGGUGGAGUUUCCAUUCCCCUACUUGAUUAUUAUCUUUAUGGAUGUUUGCCUCUUCCUCCACUGCAGGGAGAAUAGUCGAGGAGAAUUCAGCCAUGAAGUCGGCUAGUAUUUGCGACUUGAUGGUUGUGGCGGGUCUGAAUAUUAUGUUGUAUUCUCGAUUUGUACUGCCCAUUUGGACAAACGGCAUGAUACUUCUGGCUUGUGGAGUGUUGCUUUAAAGGGUAUAGAUGUUACCACGAAAACAAGAUGAACCCGAAAAUAGGGGUGUAGUUUCUUUGCUGCUACGACCAGGGAUAGAGGCAACUUUUCAAGGUGAUUGCAUCGUUUUCUGCAUCAAGGAAUGACUUGCACAUGACGUAGCACACCUAGUAUUGCCUAUUUUCUUUUUUUCGCACCAGGACGACACUCACUGCAUACUCUGAUAUCGCCAAAUAGGGCAACUAUAUUUCUUCAUUAUAAGGUUUUGAUAGCAGGGGAAGCGUAUUAAGGUACUCUUUUAACUUAGUGAAACCGUUUUCACACUUUUCAACCCAGUUGAAUUAUUUUGGCCUUUUGGGGGCUUUGAAGAAGAUGAAAGAUUUGCCUGAUAGUGGUGAGAUGAACCUACGUAGGGCUUCCAUUCUUGAUGUUAGUUUAUGAACCUAUUUUGGGCUCUUUGGUGAAGUGAUCACAUGGAUUUCUCUUAUUUGUUCUGAAUUAGCCUCGCUACUAUGAUGUGUAACUAUGUACCUUAGAAAUUUCCAGGAACUUACCCUGAAGGAGCAUUUGGACAGAUUGAACUUCAUAAUGUAUUUCAUCAACAUGGAGAAUGCUUGUUGUAGAUACAUGAUAUGCUCACAUUACCCCGAGAGCACUCUUUUAAAUAAGAAGUCAAUUGCAAUACUUGGGGAUUGAAUUCACAAGGAACGUGGAUAACACAAUAAAUUUACAGUUAUUGGUAAAGCUAUAACAUAAAUAGAAAGAAGUAAAUCAAACAGAACAAAGAUAUCGCUUCGUAGGCAUAUAGGGAAAAUGCUAGAUUCAGAGAUCUCAAACAUGCAAUCAAAACUCAUAUCAAUUGUUACUAAGGGUUUAUUAAGUUCAAUCCCAGAACUUGAAUUCAGUUAUCAGUUGUCAAACUCUCGUUGCGACGAACUAUCUAAGUCUACAUCUUCGAAGGCCAACUCUCGCUGCGUAACCAAUUUCCUUAGACAGGCAUUAAGAUUCAUUUCGAUAUGUUUGGCAAGUUAUUUAGGACAACUCUCGUUGUGUCUAGCAACCUUGCUCUGAAGGAUUCAGAUCCGAAAAUUAGUCACAUUUUCGUUUUAUUCCAAUUAUCCUAAAAUCAAAAUGUCUAGUUAAUUGUUCUAAGAACAAAUAGUAAGAACAAUCAUGAUGAAGGAGACAAUGGAUUAUCCUAGCAACACAAAUCAUCUUGGACUUCAACUCUUCUUGCAAGUACUUGUGUCAGACGGAAAGACAAGGCAAAAAAAUGAGAAUUUAAUUUACCAAUUUACAAAACUAAAAACAGAUUUUGAUAAUGUAGAGAGACAUAAAGUAUCUCGAGUCCAUGAUAGGGUAUCUCUUAAAAUCUGUCCAAGUAUUUGUUUAUAGCCAAGCUUUUUUGUAAAUGGAAAAGAGUAAACCUUCUAGCUUCGAUGGAGUUUUAGUUGGUUACUGCUGUAUUUAAAUUUCCCAUUUUAGGCGAAUUUAGAAGUGGAGCCUGAAGUAUAUGGAAAUGUUAAACGAAGUUUAAAAAAUUCUUUGUUUGAUCGGUAUGUGAAUUAGUUAUUCUAGUGAUGAGUAGCUAAACUUGCUCCAGGAUUUCUACAGAAUAUGCAAUAAACAUUCCACUCAAAUCCUUGAAGUUUUAUAAAAUAAAAGGAAAAAGAAAUACAUAUACCAUGGAUAUUUAAAAAUCCAUAUUGAAUUCAAGUAAAUAAAUAGAAACUUGAAAAUGUUUCAGAAUCUACAAAUUCCAGUAAACACUACUUAGAGGUCUAAACAUUAAACAAUGAGUCCUGACUCAAAAACAGUGGCAGAGUAAACUAGUUAAAACAGUAAAUGUAUCAAACUCUACACUGCAGCAUUCACAAACAAGUGUAUGCAUACUAUUCUGUAACCCAAACAAACAAAAAACCUCAGAAGAUCUAACUUAAAAGAGAGAGAGAGAGAGAUCUAUGGUUCUCUUGAUGUGAUCUUCUGUUUCCUACUUGGAUCUCUCCUGGUACAGAAAUACACAAUCUUGAUGUCAAAAUACAUCUAAAAGAGAUUUGGGUGUGGAUAAAUAUCGAAUGAAAUUUUGAUUGUGUAGUGUUUCGCUUUCACUUACUUGUUCUGUAUAGGACUGUAUCGACUUCUUGGGAUUCUUCGUAAGCUACCUCCAAUAGAUUUCUCCAUGCUUAUCUGAAAAUCUAUGUGUCCCUCUGUGUGAAACUUUCUGCUAAAGAAAGCUAGCAAAAUCAGAAGGAGAGCUACUGAGACCGAUCUUGAUGGAUGUAAUCUCUUCAUUGGUAAUUUAUUUUUGGUCCAUUUUUUGUGAGGAAUUUUUGAGUAGAGAUGUUUUAUAUAAUUAAAGAGAUAGACAAGUUGUAAAGGUGGUUUGCUUUGUAUUGUUCGUGAGACUUUUUGAGAUCUGAUCACACGUGAAGUCUUUUCAGAUGCUGGGAUAUUUAAUUUUUCAUUAAUUUAGUAAUUUAUGGAACGUUCACUGAGCAGAAUCCUCAUAUUCAAACAAGCACAUGCAUACACGUUGUAUCAGGCAUGAAAAUUAUAUGUUUAUUGUAUAUCAAUAUUUUUUUUUUGAUCAAAUUGUAUAUCAAUAUUAGUAGGGGAAAGUUGGAGGUAACAUCAACUGUUGUGUUUUGUCUCUAUGCUAAUUACAUUUUUUCCCCAUUUACAUUAGGUAACAUAAGCAAGGACAUUAAUAUUUAUACUAAAUUAUAAUAGCUGGCUAAUAGUAUACUUUUAUUUGUUUUAAAGUUUUAUGGUACUCGUUUAUAAUUGAUAUGAAUUAAAUAAAAUAAUUAAAUGAUUUUAUGAUGUUGUCUUAAUUAGCCAAAAUAUUUUGGGUUUGAGAAUUUGGAUCGACUUUGUUAUUCAUUUUUGAUAUAUUAGACUACAGUAUUCCUUUGAACUGAACCACAACUAUUUAUUUUUCUCAAAUCAGCCUAAAAUCAGAAAAGUUUUUUAUUUAUUUAUGUUUAUUCAAGUUUUUUUUUGUUUAUUCUAAAUAUAUUUUGUAAAAUUCUGUAAAAAUUGAUAUUUGUUAUUUUCCGAAAUAGUUAAGAAAAGGCUGAUCGAUUUGGGACUGCACCAGGAAAUCAAUUGGUAAUCUUUUGAAUCUCAUUUGGUUAUGAUUCAAAUCAUUAUUGUAAACAAAACUAAGAAAAUUGCUAUCAUCCGAUUUGGUCAUCUUCAGUCCAGGUCAAAUGAGAAUCAUAAUUUAAAAUUUUAAAUUAAUAUUUUAAGGUGUUAAAAAAAAUCUAAUAUUUUAAAUGUUUUUAUUCGAUAUUAAGUUUGUUGUGUGAAAAAUUAGAAAACAUGAUCUUCUGAAUUACAAAACAGCAUUUGACUCUUAUAUUCCAAUUUUCUUGGAUAAGUGGAUUCUAGUAUUGGAAGAUACAAGUUCACUUCAGGAUAUCCUUAUAACAUGGAAUUACCUAAGCUCUUUGGUUGUUAUUCAUCUGCGAUUUCUUAUGAAGCUUUUUUCUUGUUGCUGCAGAAUGAUCAUGGUCGAUUUUCGACAUUAGAAACCCAAAUAACUGAUGUCAUUCACCUGUAUUUUCAACUAAUUUAAGAAAAUGAAAUUUUAAUGAACUAAUUCGGAGGAAACCUAGCCAUGGGGAUAUGAGCAAUGCUAAAUAACUGAUGUCAUUGACCAGAUUCCUAGCCAUGGGGAUAUGAGCAAUGCUAAAUCCAGAGAAACCUUGUCGUAUUAUCCGGAAUGAACUAAUUCGGAGGAAAAGACUUGCCAGUCGACUGGGUUAGCAAUUAUUUCCAUCACGUCUGAGCAAUCUGUCUAUGUUUGGACAAUAGUAAUAUAUAAAUUCCGUAAGCAUGACAUUGUCCACAGUAAUCCUUCUAUCGCAGCAUAGAGAGCCGAAAGGUUUUUGUGGCAGCUUUGCAGUCCAAAUUGUUCAAUCCCCAUUUGGUCACACUCUAUUUCAAAAGAGUAAGAUUACAAAAAUUACAAUGAGCAGUACAAGUCAAAACAUGUCUAAUCAAACAUACAUUAAUACAGAAUAAAACCCGGUAUGACUCGUACUGAGUCGUUCUCCUCCACCCACCCACUGUCCACACCAGUCUCAUCAACCGACGAAAUUAUUAUUUCUUCUCCUUCACGCUCCAAUCCUCACUACUUCAUUACUCAAUGUAGUUGAUUUCCCCUGAAAGCAAGGAGCAGAAGAAUCUCACGACCUCAUUCUAUCUAAUGGAGCGUAACUCCUCAGACGACGACGAAGAAGACCACCAGCAUUUGAUCCCUCAAAACGACACUCGCAGCCGCCACCGAGAAGAUCCCACAAACGGCGGAUCAUCUUUCCAGAUCGAAGACAUUAUUCUGUCGCGGAGGAAGAUCUCGCUCAACAAGCGUUACCUCCUCGCCGCCGUCUCGCUAACUAUCUUGAUCGGUCUCAUCUUCUUAUUCACUGAUCUCCGUCAGCAAUUCUCCAGUUUCAAGGUAGAUCCGCUCUCGAGCCGCGUCAAAGAAUCAGAGCUCCGGGCGCUCUAUCUCCUCAGACAGCAACAGCUCGAGCUUCUCUCUAUCUGGAACGGUACGACGAGUGCUAACUCUUCUGUGAGAGUCGCCGUCGCGAAGCAGAUCUCACUGAAUAAUGAGAUCCAAGAGGAGCUUCUGUCGCCACACAAAACCGGGAACUACUCCGGCUCGGUGGUGGCUAACUUGUAUGAGAGAUGCGUGAAAGUGGAUCAGAAAUUGUCAGAUCGGAGAACGGUAGAGUGGAAGCCGAGAUCGGACAAGUUUCUGUUCGCUAUAUGCCUCUCGGGACAAAUGAGCAACCACUUGAUUUGCCUAGAGAAGCACAUGUUCUUUGCCGCAUUGCUGGAUCGGGUUCUUGUGAUCCCGAGCUCCAAGUUUGAUUACCAGUACGACAGAGUGAUAGAAGUUGAGCGGAUUAAUACUUGCUUGGGAAGAAACGUUGUCGUUUCUUUCGAUCAGUUUAAAAAGAGUCGUCCUCCUCGUAUCGACCGUUUCAUUUGUUACUUCUCAUCGCCGCAGCUUUGCUAUGUAGAUGAUGAGCAUAUCAAGAAGCUUAAAGGUUUGGGGGUUUCAAUCGAGCGGAAGCUCGAGUCUCCUUGGAGCGAAGAUAUAAAGAAACCUAGCAAGAGAAAUGUGGAUGAGGUGCGGAGAAGUUUCAAGUCUGAUGAUGAUGUGAUCGCAAUUGGGGAUGUUUUCUAUGCUGAUAUGGAGCAGGAUUGGGUGAUGCAGCCUGGUGGACCUAUUAACCACAAGUGCAAGACGUUGAUUGAACCCAAUAAGCUUAUUUUGCUGACCGCGCAACGGUUCAUACAGACCUUCUUGGGAAACAAUUUCAUCGCGCUUCAUUUCCGUCGACAUGGGUUCCUUAAAUUCUGGUAUAGCUUUUUCAUCUUUGCUUAUAAGCGGCAUUGUAGUCAUAUUUAAAAUUGAAUAUAUUUCAUUCGCAGCAAUGCAAAAGCGCCGAGUUGCUUCUAUCCGAUUCCACAAGCUGCGGAGUGUAUUGCUAGGAUGGUCGAAAGAUCCAACGGUGCAGUAAUCUAUCUUUCGACAGAUGCUGCAGAAAGUGAAACAAGUCUGCUUCAGUCACUUGUUGUGGUCGAUGGAAAAAUUGUGCCACUUGUCAAACGUCCACCGCGUAAUUCAGCUGAGAAAUGGGACGCACUGUUAUAUCGACAUGGUAUAGAGGAUGACUCUCAGGUAUGAAUCUCAGUGUUUCUGCAAUUUGUCUACGGUUAAAAAAACCAUAUCUCUUGAAAUGCUGCGCGGUCUGAAUUUGGUAAGUGAACUAAAAUGCUUAUUAUAGACGACUAGACAAUGCCUAAUGAUAUAUCAUGGCGUGAUGUAUCAAACUUUGCAUGUUACCAUCUUCAUGAGUCAUAGACCAGUAAAUUGUUUUUUGGCAAAUGUGUAGGUGGAUGCAAUGCUGGAUAAAACGAUAUGUGCCAUGUCCAGCGUCUUCAUUGGAGCCUCUGGAUCGACGUUCACGGAGGAUAUUUUGAGGCUAAGGAAAGAUUGGGGGACGUCUUCUAUGUGCGAUGAGUACCUAUGUCGAGGGGAAGAACCAAACUUCAUAGCAGAAGAUGAAUAAGUAAAGCAUACAUUUUUUUUCUUACGAACUUGUUUUAUUCCCACAUUCCAUUGUUCUCUUAUUCUAGUUGAGUCGUAGUUAGUUAUAGAAACCCGAUUUUGGAUACUUUUUUCCAUUUUUAUUUUUUCCAUGAUGGUGUGGAGAUAACAGUGUGAAUCGAUAGAAGAAAGAGCCUCGGGUUCUCAACAAGUAAUACAUAUUAUACAAAGUUGUCUCAAUCCAAAUGUAUUGUUUUUGUCUCUCUUCAAGCGAUAAAAGUUUGAAGUUUAUUUUUAUUUUUUUGUAAUGUUGUGAUAAAAAAGAAACUUUUGUUUUUGUAAUAUGCAAGAGCACUUUCUAGAUGUUAUUAAGUGUCUGUAUACUGUAAAAACUAAUUAAUCCUAAAUGUCGCUGGGCCAAUCAUGGGCUUCAUAAUAAAGUUGGAUUUCUUCUAAUUUGUUUAAUUUUUUUUGUUAAAUGUUUCAAGGAAGUGGUAUUUACUAGAAGAAAAGAAAACAAAAUCUGAUAGAACUCCUGACCAAGAAAAAAUAAAAGAUGUCAAACUCAACAAACGAAACCCUGUCUGAAAAGGGACAAUCCGAUGGCAAAAUCUCUAAUAAUCAACGAACAGAGCCGUCUCAGGAAUGGGAGACCAUGGCUCAAGCCUGGGUCGCCGCCUUCCCCGACGCCAACUCCGUCGUAAGCGCCACUGAAGUCGAGACUUGGAUCGGCUCCAACUUCGACUCCCUGCCGGCGGAUCUCCGUCAGAGGCCCCUCUCCGACCUCGUCGACCGUUUCCUCUCCAUGCAACAGUACAUGAGACAGACAGCAUCUGAACAGAACGAGGUACGUGUCUCUUCUUGAUGAAUUGGAUUUGUGUUUAUGAUUUCUCUUAUCUGAUGUUUGUUUGUCUUAACGAAACAGCAAGAGAGCCAAGCUGAUCAGCAUCCAGCUCGGUUUCAGAGGACUGACCAGUGGUUACCAGUGUACUCGUGGUUAGAAUCUCUGGAUAGUGGAGAGCUGGUGAAAUCGAAGGAUAUCUCUGAGUGGCUCGACGCGAAUCCAGAGGUUAAGGAAGAGCUCUCGUCAAGGCAUUCUCGUUAUCAUUUGACUCAUUAUGUCAAAAAAUGUCAUCUCAAGAUACUUAAAAGAAAGGAGAAGAAGGUAAAAGCAAAACUCUCUUUGCAAUUUUCUUCAUUUGUUUUUCAUCUGUUUUCGACUUGCUUGCAAUUUGAAUCAGGGGUUGAUCCGCCUUAGUAGAGAAACUGCAAUGGAGGUUCACAAAGAAUUUGGGGAGAAACACCAUAAUGCCACCCUUUCUGGUAUAGAAACGCUUUCUGUAAUUGUUUGUUUUAUUUAUGAUUGUUUUAGAUUCAAAGGGCUCUUUGUUAGUGAUGUAGUGUCAUUCUUAAUGUUUUAGCUGAUCCCAUGAGCAAUAUACCAAAAGACAGUGACCUCUACCGUACUAAACUUAAAGAAGCUAAACGCAGAUUCGAGAUGUGAGUGGGAUUUCUCAACACUUUCUGUGUAAUAAACAUAAACUUAUUUAACUAUUCAUUUAAAGGUUAUACUAAUGUUUGUUUUACGCAUCAUCCAGCUUGGUUGAGCUCGAGAAGAAACUAGCUCCGCAUUUUUCAAGGCCUCGAAUAACCAACACAUGAACUUAUCUACCUACUUCUUUGUAGAGUCAAUCAGAAGCUGGUUUCGAACACUUCCUUUUGGUUGACUUUGUACGUCUGUUAUCUGCUUUUGGUGUUGUAGAACUGUUUGUGAAAUGUUAAGGUCAUGUAGCUGUAUGGAGUUUUGUUUGAAUGUAUGUUGGUGCAGUGCAGCAAACCGUAACUUGUAACCUUUUCUAGACUAUAUGUAGGCCCAACGAAGAGAGAGAGGGAGAGAGAGAUGCUCACCAUGAGCUGUAAAACGAUGUUUGCCUCUUUAAUUUUUAUUAAAUGUUGCUCACAGCCUAAACAUACUGUGUUUGAAGGAAAGAGGAAGUAUAUGAUUGUUGCUACUUGUUUAGUUAUUUUCUACGAAAAAUAGAAUAAAAUAUGAGAAACAUUCUUAAGAAGAAUUAAAACAUAUAUACUUAUAUUUUUAAAUAUAUAUUAAUUAAAUUAUGUUAAAAACAAAGUCCAUAACUUUUUAAAGUAUUAUUUUAAAGAAUGUAAAUAGUCAAUUAUACAAAAUAUAUAUUAUAAUUAGAUUAAUAGGAUUUAGUAUUUUGACGUUGAUUAAAGUAUUUUUUUAAAUUGAAUGUUAUUUGAGGAAUUACAUUCUGUAAUACAAAAUAUAUAUAUAAACCAUAUACAAAUAAAAAAUAAAGUGUUACUAUAUAUUAUAUAUUGUAGCAGCCUGUAUUGUAGUGCAGUAAGACCAAAAUAUUCGUAAAUUUUAAGGAACCUUAAUCGAUUGGUAUCUUAUGUUGACGCAUUCAAGUUCCUUUUCGAAUUGUUGUCAACUUCUUUCGAAGAACUAUCCUAAUUGGUAUCUUAUGUUGUUGUAGUUUAUGGUUUUUAUCAAAGAGCAUAGAUAAUUCCCUCUACCUAUUGUAUUCAUCAAACAAGUUGAUGAGUAAUGAAAGUGAGUCGUGUUCCAAAACAAAAAGAAUAAGAUUACAUGGCAACUAAGCUGAGCUGGCUCUUCUCGUUAACUUUGAUACUUAAUCUGACAUGGAUAGUUUAAAUGGCUUUUGAUUAAAUCUUAUUUGUAUACCUUCUUCAGUUUCUUUGUCUUUAGUUUACAACAACAAAAAAAAAACUAUUCAUAGCAUGAGAAUAAGGUUUGAUGAAAUUUCUAGAUGAUAAAAAAAAAGCAUGAGAAUAAGCUAGUUGAAUGAAUUACGGAAUUAGCUUAUUGGAAAGAUUUCAGACUUUCAAUACGUCACCGAGUCCUUUAGUUGGGUUGUUACAAACUUCAAGCUAUUUCUUCCAACGUUUGCUUCUUGUCCUUUCUCGCUACCAAAAUUUCAUCAGGAUCUAAGGCAGCUACGAGAUCGACUAUGGCGUGGUGGCCUGACGGCGGUUUUUUGAUGAUGAUGAUGAUGACCAUCAUUUCUUUCGUUCAAGCCGAAGAUUCCAACCGCUUCUUCGACUUGAGGGUCACUUACGGCAAUGUCUCUGUGACUAAGUACGUUCCUCCAACAAGGGUACAUUUUCAACAAUAUGGCUACUUCUGUUUUCGUAGUAUAUAUAUGUGUGUAUGUAUUUAUUUAUUUUUGAAUGAAUGUAAAAUUUAUUUAUUUAAAAUACACAUGCAUAUCGACAUGCAGGUAAUUCUAAUAAACGGAAAAUUUCCCGGACCGGAGCUUUACUUAGUCACCAAUGAUAAUUUGAUCAUCAAUGUUCACAAUGAUCUGGACGAGCCUUUUCUCUUGUCUUGGUAUCUAUUUAUUUACCUCUUUCGUUUCACCUUUCGGUAAACAUAAUUUGAACCCGAUUCACAUGAAAUAUUUCUACAUCCAUUUAAAAAGCAAUGCAAUUUUAAUAUAUAUAUAUAUAUAUAUGCAUAUAUGGAAAUUAUAAGUUAUAUUAGAAGAAGGCCAUUUGCAUGCACAUGUGCCGUUUCUUCCCAUUCUUUCUAUUUUGUUGGGUAAUAUUACACGUCAAUGUUUCAUCCUAAUUACAGUAUCAUAAAAAAAAAUCAUAUAAAUAUCAUAAACACAAAACAUGUUUUCAUAAAUGGAGGAACGGCUUGCAUCUAAAGAGAAACUCUUACCAAGAUGGAGUGUAUGGGACGACUUGUCCAAUCCCACCUGGAAAGAAUUACACUUAUGCCUUCCAUCUCGAAGACCAGAUCGGAAGUUUCUUCUACUUCCCUUCGCUGGCCGUUCAAAAAGCCGCCGGUGGUUUUGGUGCCAUCCGUAUCCUCAGUCGCCCUGGCACGCCCGUCCCUUUCCCGCAACCAGCCGGAGACUUCACCAUCCUCAUCGGGGAUUGGUAUACUGGGGAAGACCACAAGGUUUAUAUCUUAAUUAUUAACUUAUCAUGUUUGCUUAGCACAACGGCUGGCUCAAGAUUAUUGUGGGUUUACAUGGCGAUUUUUAAUUUUAUUUUUGGAUUCACAUUGGAUUUCUAGACCUUUUUAUUAAAUAAUGUUUGUUUUUAAAAAGUGUUACUAAUCCACACGUAGGAUUUAAAGGCACGUUUGGAUGGAGGACGCAUGAUACCUAGGCCUUAUAGUGUUUUGAUCAAUGGCAAUGAAGACACCGCCUCUACUUCUCUAACUGUCGACAAAGGUUAAUGUUUAAAACUCCAAACUCUAAUAUGUUAGUUACAAAGAAGAGCAUUUUCGCGAUCUCAUCAUCACUUUCAUGGGUUAAUAAUUAACAGGUAAAACGUACAGAUUCAGAAUAUCAAAUGUGGGGCUUCAACUGUCCCUAAACUUCGAAAUAUUAGGUCAUAUGUUGAAGCUCGUUGAGGUCGAGGGAACCUACACAAUCCAAACCAAGUUCACUUCACUCGACAUUCACGUUGGUCAAUCUUACUCUGUCCUGGUCACCAUGGACCAGCCUCCCCAAAACUAUUCGAUUGUCGUGGGGACGAGAUUCACUGACUCACGAUCUACGAAUAGAAUUAUUCUUCACUACUCCAACUCCAAAAGCUCUAAAUUUGUCCCUAAUAGACAACCUGACAAUGACAUAGACUUUUCGAUUAAACAGGCUCGGUCCAUUAAGACUAACCUGACUGCGUCCAGGCAAAGGCAAGAUGCUCAGGGCUCAUACCAUUAUGGUCGAAUCAAGAUUUCUAGGACAUUAAUACUUGAAAGCUCAGCAGGCGUUGUGAACAGGAAGCAACGAUAUGCCAUAAAUGGCGUAUCAUUCGUUCCUGCUGAUACUCCACUGAAGCUAGCAGAUUACUUUAAGAUCAAAGGUGUUUUCAAAGUAGGAAGCAUCCCAGAUAAGCCUGGAAGAGCAGGGAUCAGACUAGAAACAGCAGUGAUGGGAGUACACCACAAGGAUUUUCUUGAGAUCGUCUUUCAAAACCGCGAGAAGUACGUCCAGACUUACCAUCUCGAUGGAUACAACUUCUGGGUUGUCGGGUGAGAACAAUAACUUAAUCAUAUACUAUGGUAAUGAUAUUAACCAUUGAAGGUCAUUGACGUAUGUGACUUCUCAACAGGAUUGGUAAUCGAUGGUCUACAUGGUCACAUGCGAGCAGACGAGACUAUAACCUCAGGGAUGCUAUUUCUCGCUCCACUACUCAGGUCAGGUGACGUGAACUCUCUCCAUAUAUCUAUACAGUUUUGGAAUUUGUUGUCAAUAGAUUUUAUGCAAAGCUCAUACAAUUCCCCGUGGGGCACGUCCCCUCCCAGCUGAAAUUCACAUUAGGGGAUCUAAGCAACAGUCCCUUUUGGUAUUCCUAAAUAGUACCACAAGACUGGAAUUAUUCACUUGGUUCUUAAUUAAUGUUGGAAAUGUGUAUAUUAUUAUAGGUCUAUCCAAAAUCUUGGACAGCUAUAUAUGUGGCUUUCGAUAAUGUGGGGAUGUGGAAUUUCAGAAGUGAGUUUUGGGCAAGACAAUACUUAGGUCAACAAUUCUACUUCCGAGUUCACUCUCCGGCUAACUCUACCAGAGAUGAAUAUCCUUUGCCUAAAAAUGCUUUGUUGUGUGGUCGAGCCUCAAACAGACACAGGCGCGACUUCAUACCCUAGCUCCUAUUGACAUGAUGCCCUUCAUAUCAAUCUUGAAUGAAUUAACCAAUAUAUUUUAAUGAGUAAUAUAAUAUAUCCACACCAAAAGAUAAAAGGUUACUCCUAUAAGCUUCAAAGUAGCUCCUGACUAUACACUUCAAAAACAAUUCACGUAAUGUUUGUAAUCCUUCUUUAUGUAUAAUAUAUUUUGAUCCGUGCUUUUAUUAAGAGUAUUUGUUUAGUUGAUCAGAUUUUAUCAAAUAAAAAAUUAAUUUUAUAAAUAGUUUAUCUGUUUUAUGUUUUGUAUAUAUGAUUCAUAUUUAAAAUGUGCGUAUAAAAUUUAUAUUAGUUUUUUUUCAGUGAACUAAGUUUUUGGCAGAAUUCAGACAUAUGCCAUGUGUAAAUUUUUAUUCUAAUUCAGUUAUUUAAAUUUUAAUAGAAAAUAAUUAUUAUUACACCUAGAUUCUCUCAUUCUAAUUCAUCGCUACUAACUAGAAGAAGUUUCAGGAGAAAUUUAGAUUUCAAUUUAAAAUUUAUAAAUAAAAUUUUUUUUUUUUUGAAAUGUCAAAUAUAUGUAAAAUGCUAACCGUAUUAUAACACGUAGGGGUGGACAAAAAAAACCGAACCGAAUCAAGUUAAACCAAACCAAUCGAAAUGAAACCGAUUCAAAUCGAACCAAAGUCUAUUUCAAACUAUUCGAUUGAAGAUUUUCCCAAUCCAAAUGGUUUAGUUCAGUUCGGUUUUAAACCAAACCGAACCGAUAAACUGAUGUGUUUUUGUAAUUAUUUAAAUUAAAAAUAUUAGUAAUACAAAUAUACUAAAAUUCUAAUAGUAAACCCCAUAUUUUUCAUUUUUCAUUCAUUAACAUAUAUUCUUCUAACCUAAUAAUUCUAGUUUGAAAUAUCCUGUUUGCAAUUCUAGUUAGUGAAAAGAAUAUACUAGGUCUAUGAUAAUGGAAUCAUGUGUUUAGAGUGGCAAAGAUAUAAAUAAAUACUUGUAUUUGUGUAUAACAUAUAUAUAUACUAGUUAUUGAUUUGUUGCAGUCUUUUUGAUGAUAUGAUAUAAGAGACAUUACUAAUGAUGUUGUUGUUUUUUUACUUUAGUUAAAUUUCAUUUGUUUUAAUUUUUAUAUACUUUUUGUGACUUCUUAAAAGUUUUUGUUUUAGUUUUAUAUAGAAUUUAGUUCACAUCGUUUAUGUUUACAUAAUCUUAUAUAUUAAAACAGAAGUCACAACUUUGAUUCAUGUGUGAUUUUUUCAAAAAAUGGACCCUCACUAGAAAGUUAUGUUUCAUUUAUUUCUAAUUAAUAUUUUCUGACUUACUCGGCGGUAAUUACUUACGCCUAUAAAAUUGGUACGGUUGAACAAAUAUAUUUUGGCAUCAUUUAUAAAUCACAUACACGACAUGUAUAUAUCGAACCUAACUUAUGCUUAAUAAGAUUCACUCUUGAACCGGCUCGCUUUAUACACUUAAUAAACAAGGAAAGCAUUUGAUUAAACCGGUUCUAACCAUCAUUUAUAAUAUAUGAUUAGUUUGACUAUUCAACCUAUUCGAUUUAAACACUAAAUAAACCACAUCACACAUUGGACUUAACCGGACAUCAAGUGAUCAUCAUUUAUAAUACAUUAUUACCUUGAGUAUUCAGCCGGUUCGUUAUAUACAGUAAAUAAAACUAACAAAAUAAGAUUUGAACGGUACUUGGAAUGAAAUACUAUUCAUAUUUUUGGGUACUUUCAUAAUUCAUAAAUUAUUGUUGAGAACCAAGUACAUAUUAUACCUAUAUAAAAAGAUUCUAUGGAUUUAUGGAUUUAUUAGUUAAGACGAAUGUUUAUUUUAAAAGGCUUUUUAAACCUUUUGAUUGCAAUAUACGAUUCUCAAAAAUAUUUUCUAUAUUCCAUAAUAUUGACAUAAUUUAUUAUUGAUCUCCAUAAAAAGCUCAUCGACCUUAGCUAAUAUACACAAGAUCCAUUUUGAAAAGGUAAAUUCAUAAAUCAUUUAAUAUUGUGUGUGGGUUUACUAAUCAUAUAUUCCAAGUGUAUAUAUAAAAGCUAUUAGUAAUAGAUCACAUAUUUCUUGAAUAAUUGAAUUUAAAAUGUUAACGCCCAUUGGAUUUAUAGAUAGAUAGUAUAUUUUCGUACAUUGUCCUAAUUUUUAAAUGUUUAAACUAUUUUUUUUAAACGAAAUAUAUUUUUUUACUAGAUAGGAUUUUUCUAUUUAUGUAAAGUCAUCUUAUUAUGUAAAGUCACAUAUAAAUUUGUAUUUUAAUAAUAAACCUUCAUAUGUAAUAUAUUUUUAGACAUUACAAUAAUUUUCUAUUUUACGAAAAUUAGAAGAGAUUACCGAGUUUAAUAAUUAAACAAAAAUCCAACAAACAAUAUAUUGUAAAGAAAAUAAAAAAAAACUAAUGUGAUAGUUUGAAACAAUUAAUUUGAUUAAGAACACAUAAACUAUAACAAUUUUGAGUUUGAAAAAGUUAUUUACACAUUUCAAAAUAUGUGAUUAUUAUAAUAUAUAUUAUUUUAAAGUAAAAACAAAAUAUCUAUGUAAAUAUGAAUGAAAACAAAUACCCGCACGGUUGUGCGGGUCAAGAUCUAGUUUAUGUUUUAAAACAUAACUAGAUUUUGACCCGCACGCCCGUGCGGAUGUAUUUUUUUAAAAAAUAUGAUGCUAUUUGAUUUUUAUGUCACUAUUUAGGGUUGGUCAAAAAACUCGAAUUCGAAGAAUUGAACUGAUUCCAAUCCGAAUAAGUAGUACUAAAUCUGAAGCGGAAUUGAUUAAAUAUCUGAAUUAUUCAAAAUUUUGGUAUUUGAAAAACUGAAAUCUAAUCCGAACCGAGCCGAAGUAUUUUGGGUAUCCAAAAUAGAUUUAUAUACUUAUAUAUAUAAAUUAUUUUUAGAUUUAAUAUAUAUAAAAAUAUCCAGAAUAUAUAUGAUGUAAAUGAAUACAAAUAAUCGAACGUAAAUACUUAAAUAUAUGAUGUAAACUUUUAAGUUCGCUUAAAUGCUUGAAAAUAUGAUGUAAACUUCUACGCUUAAAUACUUAUAUAUAUGAUGUAAACUUUUAAGUUCGCUUAAAUGCUUGAAAAUAUAUACAAAUAAUCAAACGUAAAUAUCUUAAAUAGUUAAAAUAUACUCAAAACUCCAAAAAUACUAAAAUAAUUAUUAAUUCUCUAUCCAAAUAUUUAAACCAAACCUAUUUAAAUUGGUUAUCCAAAUCCGAACCAAAUCUUCAAAGAUCUGAACUAAACACGAAAUUCCAAAAAGACCCGAAAACGAACCCGAACGCCCACCCCUAAUCACUAUUAUAUAUAUAUAUAUAUAUAUAUAUAUAUAUAUAUAUAUAUAUAUAUAUAUAUAUAUAUCAUAUAUGUGUCAUCAUAUGUUACAAAAUAUGUGUUAUCAUAUAAUUAAUCGUAUUUUAUAUGUACCAUCAAAUAAGUUUUUCUUAGAAUUAAUAAUAUUUUAUACGUACAAUCAUAUAAAUAAUCACAUAUAUUAUAUUUUAAAAUUUAAUGUGAAAUAGAAAAACCAUAAUUUAAGUUGGUGUUUGAAAUUGAGCUUUGUAUUGUAUUUUUCUUAUAUAUAUUGAAAAUAUUUUUAUAAUAGUUAUUAGAAAAUAUGUUAGUAAAAAUCAAAUUUUGAAUAUAUAUAUAUAUAUAUAUGAAUGAAUUUUUGAUAUAAAUCAAUUUUAAUUUAUUAUUUUGAUUUGAAUAUAUUAUAUAUCAAAUAACAUAGACCCAUUAUUUUUUUAAUAUAAUGUAAUGGACUUCCAAUUUUUAGUAGCAUAAGCCCAUUUUUUUUUUUUAAUUUACUAUUAUCCAUGUUUCCAAACAAUACUAUUUUUGUAACUAUUAUCCAUAUUGCCAAACAAUCUCAAUGUGUACUUCAACUUUAAUAAUAUAGAUUUUUUUUAGAAUAAUUAAACUAAGAAGAAUCUAAUUAAACCGAUCCAAAAACAAUAAUAUAUACUUUUGCAUUGUUGACCGGAGCUGUCGAUUGUUGAUGAAGGUACCGUGCACAUACAAUGCAAAAGUAUAUAUUAUAAGGACAUCAAAGUUUUGUUUGGACAGUAGUAUGACAGAGAGAUAAUAAAUAUUUACCUGCCCAUAAAAAGGGUAAAGACAUAGUAAGACAUCAAAACAAUGCUUCCCAGAUUCUUGUUCUUGUUGUAUAUGAAUGGAAGAAGGGGCGGAAUAGGAGAAGCAGUGUUGUUGCUGCUUGCGCUCACCGUUGGGCUUGGACUUGGCUUGGGUAAGAAUCCUACCAUAGCCACUAUCAUUGCGCCUAUGACAGUGUGGAGGCACAAAACAAUGUCAUCCCAUGAUCCAACACGUACGGUACCAACGGGAACUUCCCUAACCACAUUCAUGUGGAUGCAAGCAAGACAUGCUAUUUCGCAGAAAGAUCUUAAAGACAGCCGGACACGGUAGUUAAAACCAAAAGCACUUCCAGACCCAGUGAGGCGGUGUGCGAGGUUCUGCGCAUUCACUUCCGAGAAAACGAAUCCGAGGCUCCUCAAAGCUAUGCUUAAUCCACGAGAGUCAAGGUAUUCUUGGGUGUCUUUAUUCAAAUUGAAAAUAUCUUUGAGAAAAUUUUCGUUCUGCAUUGGUGAAAAUAUAUUCAUAAAUUUGGAGCGAGGAAUCUUCUUUAUAGCAUCUUCUGUCUCUUCGAUACCAUAUUUCUCCACCAGACUCAGAACUUCAUCAUCAUCAAAAUUCAUGUCCAGCAGUUUAAUUAUUGUUUUUAAUAAAGCUCUCCCACCAUCUCUCGAUUGGAGUUCAUGGCUGCUCUCUCCAGCUAAUGAAUUUUAGUUUAAACAGAUAAAGGUGAAAUCAAAGAGACUGCUUCUCUUCCAACUUUGACCGGACUCUUCAUUUGCUUUAAUUAUAAUCCCUAACGGUUAUGCGUCGUAUUAUUUCUUUUUCUUGCUUGAUCCUUCCAUUUUUGAUUAUAAAUCUCCAUACUUUAUGACCAAUAAAGUGGGUUUCAUGUUCUUUUAGUUGUGUAUUGAACAGAUGGAAGAUUUUUGGUAGAAUCAGAUUUAGAUUAAGCAAAGUUAAGGUCUACUAUGAUAGACGUCUCACAUAUGAUCCACCUUUUGAUCUUUCAAGCUCUCUAUAGCGCAAAAAAGAAAAGAAGAUGUUGAUUGAAGAUCAUCGGUACAAGCUAAAGCGAUUUGUGAUAGACUAGAUGUGACAGAAGUAUGAUUUGAAGUCUUCAGGUAGUGCUAAAGAGAAACAUUGAAGAAAUGAUGAAACUGCGAAUCUCCGGCAACGGCGAAAAAUCCCUUUCGCUUAUUAUGUCACGUGGCCGGAUUAUAUCCAUGGAAGACAACUGUUAUCGCCCAUUGAUAGUCGAGAAUUUAUAACUGCUUGAGCUUCAUGCAUUAUUAUUAUUAACAUAAGCUACCUGCCAUUCAUCGAAGUACUAAAAGAAACUAUAUCGAUUACCAAACAAACUUCGACCAAAAAAAAAAAAAUAAGAAACACAAAAGCUCCAAAACAGAAAAUAAAACUGCAAAAUAUGUACAUUCCUCCUAAGUUCUAAGUGAAAAUAUCAAAGAUCUCGAACUGCAUGGCUCUAGCCUCUAGUUAACUAAGCCUUCUCUCCUCAUCAUGUCAAUCUAACGGUAGAUAUUCGAUCCUGCAGAUCAAACGGCCAAAACUCACCGUCCAAGAAAAAGUGCAGCGUUAACGUCAAGCCGCCACGCGAAGCCACCGUCAUUCAUCUUCCAACCAUCACAAGGCGAAGUAAUCGAACUCACUAAACUAUCGCGACACGUGUACUGCAGUCUCAUUCUACAUGUGAACGUCCGUUUCGUUAGCAAAGGCUUCUCCUUCAUCACCAGCCACACACUCAUCUUACUACAACACUUGUCCUUCCCAAUCACCAAAUCUCUGUACGAACCAUUCGUCCAAACGACUCUCCCUAAACCGUCCGAUAUAAAACCAGGACACGUGUCCCUCUCCAGAUUCAUCUUCUUUUCCUCGUCCGUACACCCUAACUCGUACUCCCCCUCCGUUACGCACUCUACCGUUAACAACGACGACACAACCGUUUCCGUUCUCGCCGUUAGUAAUCCCUCCGUCAGAUCUAAACUCUUCUUCGCCGCUUGAUAACGUCCGUCAUCUCCGAAACUCAACCACGAAGACGCCGCCGCAGGCACCAAAACCCUAGGCGGUUCCUUCCUCCUCUCAGGAGUCUCGGGAAGAAGAGGCAACGUCACAGUCUCAGAUCCGUUCUUAGCCUCUUCGUUUCUCCUCCGUUUACUGUUGCCGUUACUGUUAACAGAUCCCCCGCUGCUGCUACUGUUCUCUUUCGAAUAUUUUCUCUUUCCUCUCCGCGACUUGGGCGAUACGGAAUCCAACGGCAGCGAAGAGGAUCCGCCGGAAUCUGGUCUCGGAGCAAUCGGACGGUACCGGAGCAUAAUCCUAUCCACCUUUGACAUAUCACCACCACCACCACUGCCUCCGUAUCUCGCUAUACAACAGCCUCCCCGAAAAUUCAUUUUUAAUUGAUUUUUUCUGCGAAAUUUUACUUUUAAAGCAAAUGAAAUGAAGAUGCUGAAUUAACGUGAAGCUUGCCGGUACGUUUAUAAAGAGAAAACUGUUACGUCGACACGUUUGGAGAAACAGCCACGUGCGAGACCACAGGCUGAACAGCGCAACCCUGUGAUUGGACGAUAGGGGAGAGACGUGGCGUCUUGCGGUUGAAACUUUGGGGUCACACAAAGGACUCGGUACGAGGGCGUGACGGCCAAUCGCAGAGCGAGGAGUGGCUAUUAGUUGCGGUGCGAUUAAAGGUAACGGACACAUAUGUCUGUAACUUGCCAGUAUACGUGUAACCUAAGGCUACGAGACGCAGGACACAUGGCCCAAUCUUGUUUACUCAUUUGGUCAUAGAGUUUGAAUUUUUUAUUUUAUUUUAAGUUUGGUUUCUAUUAUUAGGAUGUAGGAUGGUGAGAGAUUUUGACACGUGAAGAGGGAGCUUAUGACACGAAUCUAGUUGGGAUGUGGAUAUUUAUUUCCAAAAUUAAGGAUUCUUUUAGCAUGCAUAUAGUUGGUGAAACAAGUACAUAAUUAAAAUUUUGAAAUAAAUUAGAAGGCAUUCACUGUUGCCACGCGCUAAACUGAGCAGAGCGACAAUCCAGGAGAAGAUUCUGAUUCUCCAUCGACAAUGGGAUAGUGUUUUUCCAAGUUCUUCUUAAAGACUUUUGAUUAGAUGAACAAGAUAUGGCAGUGCUACAGAAACGACCCCAUAAAUUUUGUUCUAAAAUUUUAACAUGUUUAUCAAAAAAAAAAAACAAAAAUUUUUUGUUCUAAACUCCUUUGGUCCAUGUGUACCGCUUGGAGCUAAAGAGCUCUUAAAGUGAAUUAAAAACUACGGUUAUUUGCAAAAAUAAAUUUUAUUUUAUUUGUGAAUGUUGACUCUAAUCACGUACAAGCAAGAUGGGCCUUAAUCAAUGGGACUGCAAGAAAAAUGGAGACUGGGUUUAUUCACAUAUGAAACCCAUCACGUUUUAACAGUAAACGUGAAGCACACAAGGGUUGUGAUAGAGAUGCUUAGUAUAAAUAGAACCUUAUCCUAAGCAUUAACAACCCUAGCAGUAAUCUCCUGUAUCAAAAAGUGUAAAGAAGAAACACUAAAAGCUUGUACUUUUCUCAGAUUAUAGUGAAGCUUGAGGGACAAGAGUUCCCUGCCCUCCCCAGAGGUAACAGUUAGAGGCCGUGAACUGGGUCAAAAGUGUUUGUGUCUUUUACAGUUUAUGCUUACUCUAAAUUGGUUUUAGCAAACGAUCAAACCCUCACAAGUGGUAUCAGAACACAUUUGGUUAAAGCUAAACCGAUCGUCGACCAGAAGAAGAAGAUCUACAGGUUAGAAGAAACUCUCACUGGUUGUUUCUUCAUUUGAGAUUUCUUGGUUUGAGGUGGAGUAAGUUUUCUGAAGAUAGUUGCUGUAACCGGGAGUAGAAAUUGUUAUCCGGAUUUGGUUCAUCAUAUCUCUUGAGCUAGUUUUCUGUUGUGUUGAGGAGGGCGUUACACAACCCCAAACUCAGGCGAGUUAAGGUUGUUCUUGUAUUUGAAUCUGGUUCCUGAAAUCAAAGGGUCAAAUACAUCAGCAUGGAACAUCCUCAAAGCAGACUGGAUGUAGAGAAAUUUGAUGGUAAAGGUGAUUUUGGAUUAUGGAAACAUAAGGUGUUAUGUCAGCUGGAGCUCAUGGGCUUAGAGUCUGUGUUGGAAGAAGGUGAGACCUCUGAGUCAGAACCAGACAAGCAAGAUGAAGGCCAGUAACCAGGAAAAGAUCCAAAGUUUGCUGAGAAGGAUAAACGGGUGAAGAAUCUUAUUAAGAUGUGUCUAAGCGAUCAGAUCUUAAGGAAGGUCAUGAAAGAGCCUACUGCUGCUGGGAUUUGGAAGGCUCUUGAGACUGACUACUAGACCAAAACUUUACCCAAUAGGAUCUAUCUGAAGCAGAGGUUUGCUAGUUUCAAGAUGGAGGAGAACAAAAGUAUUGAAGAAAACUUAGACAGUUUUCAAAAGCUUGUGGAUGAUCUUGCAAGUCUGAAUAUAAACAUAAGUGAUGAGGAUCAGGCUAUUCAACUCCUUACUAGCCUCCCACCACUGUAUGAAGCCUUGGUUCACACUCUCAAGUAUGGUAGUGGUAAAGACACACUUUCAGUAAGUGAUGUUACUACUUCAGCGUAUUCCAAAGAAGUGGUGUUAAAGGAGAAAGGUCUCCUGAACAGAACCAGAGGAAACUCAGAAGGUUUGUACGUUGAGUCUAGAGGCAGGUCUGAAAGAAGACCUGAAAAAGGAAACUACAAACCGAGGUCCAAGUCAAGGGGUAGAUCAAAGUCAAGACCGAAGUAUAAUAAGAACACUACAGGAUGUUUCUUAUGUGGUAAAGAAGGACAUUGGAAGAGGGAGUGUCCAGAUAAACAUGGAAAGAAGCCAAACAGCUUUGCAAACGUUGCGACAAAGGUGACAGAGAAGGUGAAAGAGCCGCUUGUUCUUACAGCAAGCAAGCAUGACUCCAAAGGCGCUUGGGUCAUGGACUCAGGCUGUAGCUUCCAUAUAACUCCAGAUAAAGAGUCUUUGUUUGAUCUACAAGAGCUUGAUGGAGGAAAAGUCUUGAUGGGAAAUAUGACGCACAGUGAGGUGAAGGGGAUUGGCAAGAUUAAAAUCUUAAAUCCAGAUAAUUUUGUGGUUAUUCUGACAGAGGUUCGGUAUAUGCCAACGAUGGGGAGAAAUCUAAUUUCUUAUGGACAGUUGGAAAAGAGUGGUUGCAAAUACGAGGGAAAGGAUUUUGUAGUCACUUUCUACAAAGAUGGACAGAAGGUAAUUUCUGGAAAAUACCAAGACGGAUUGUACUAUCUACAAGGGAGAGUGGUGCAAGGAGAGUCGAUGGUAGCAAGGCCAGAAACUGACAUGACCAAGAUAUGGCACUCUAGGCUCGGUCACAUGAGUCUAAAAUGCAUGAAUAUAUUGGUCAAAGAUGGGUAUCUGACAGAUAAAGAAGUGAAGACUUUGGGUUUUUGUGAGAGUUCUGUUUUGGGUAAAUCGCACAAGCUGAGCUUUACCAGGUCGAAGCACGCUACAAAAGGAGUCUUGGAAUACAUUCACUCUGACUUGUGGGGCUCUCCAUCAGUUGAGAAGAGCUUGGGGAAUUGUCAAUAUUUCAUUACCUUCAUUGACGAUUUCUCGAAGAAGGUCUGGAUCUAUUUCCUAAAAACUAAGGAUGAAGCAUUUCUUAAGUUCAAAGAAUGGAAGGCAAUGGUCGAAAAUCAGACAGGAAAGAAAGUACGUUGUUUGAGGACAGAUAACGGACUCAAGUUCUGUAACAACAUGUUUGAUAAUUUCUGCAAGGAUUCUGGUAUUAAAAGGCACAGGACGUGUACUUACACUCCACAGCAAAAUGGAGUAUCAGAACGCAUGAACAGGACCAUUAUGGACAAGGUGAGAUGCAUGCUAGCUGAGAGUGGGCUAGAAGAGAAGUUCUGGGCAGAGGCUGCCUCCACAGCCGUUUACUUGAUUAAUAGAUCACCAAACUCGUAUAUUAACUUCAAGUUGCCAGAAGAAGUAUGGUCUGGAGAAAGACCAAAGAUUAGUCAUCUAAGAAGGUUUGGAUGCUCAGCAUAUGUACAUGUCUCGCAAGGGAAAACAAGUCCUCGAGCAAUCAAAGGAUUAUUUUUGGGAUAUCCGCAAUGGACUAAAGGUUACCGGAUAUGGAUUGAAGAAGAGGAUAAAUGUGUUAUCAGCAGAGACAUCAUUUUUCAUGAAGAAGAACUGUACAAAGAUACCUUGAAGCAAAAGGAUGAAGGUGACUCGAGAAAAAUCGAUGAAACUACUCAGAAAAAGAGUAAAGGAAAAAGAGUUACCUUCAGCGAGAAUCUCAUUCAAGGACCUUCAGGUACUUUUGAAGUAGGUGAGACUUCAGAUCAAGGUGGAGCAUCAUCUGGGACAGAUUAGUCAGGAGAAAGUUCAGAUGAUCAAGGCGUGACGUCUGAGGAAGAGACUGAUAUUGAUGUUAGUCAGAAUGAGGAACCUAAUCUUGGAAACUUGGAUGAUUAUGUUUUGUCUAGGGACAGGGGACGCAGACAGACGAAGCCUCCAUCCAAAUUUGAUGACUUUGAUGUGGCUGCGUAUGCAUUGACAUGUGCAGAAGAAAUCGAUAUGGAUGAGCCAAAGUCUUAUUUUGAAGCAAACAAAAGUAAAGACUGUGAAAAGUGGAACUCAGGAAUGACAGAGGAGAUGGGUUCUCAUCAGCAAAAUGGAACAUGGGAAUUAGUAGACAAGCCAGCGAACAAAAAGGUUAUCGGCUGCAAGUGGGUUUACAAACUAAAACCGGAUAUUUCUAGAAAUUUCAGAUACAAAGCCAGGUUGGUAGCCAAGGGGUUUUCUCAAGUAGAAGGAAUAGACUUCACAGAAGUGUUCGCUCCAGUGGUGAAACAUGUUUCAAUUAGAACCAUGCUUUCUCUAGUUGCAAACUAUGAUCUUGAGCUUGAGCAGUUGGACGUAAAAACAAUCUUUUUGCACGGAACUCUCGAUGAAGAGAUCUACAUGUCACAACCUGAGGGCUUUGUUGAAAAAGGAAAAGAGGACAAGGUAUGUUUGCUGAAGAAGUCACUGUAUGGCCUAAAACAGGUACCUAGACAAUGGAACAGGAAGUUCAACAGCUUCAUGAAAGACAACAAAUUCAUCAGAAGUUUGAGUGAUCCAUGUGUCUACAUUAAAGGAGAGGGUACAUCAGACAUGGUAUAUAUGUUGUUGUAUGUAUACGAUAUGCUUGUUGCUUCAAAAGACAAGCUUGGAAUCCAGAGGUUGAAAGAAAGUUUAGCUGCUGAGUUUGAGAUGAAAGACUUAGGGGCUGCGAAUAGAAUUCUGGGAAUGGAUAUCGUGAGAGACAGGAAUAAAGGAAUUUUGAAGCUGUCACAAGGAAGAUAUCUAGAACAAGUUCUCAGGACAUUCAACAUGAGUGAAUCAAAAGCUGUUACCACACCACUAGGCUGUCAAUUCAAACUCAAGGCUCUCACAGAAGAAGAAUCAAAAGGAGAAUCAGAAUUGAUGAGUGAAGUUCCUUAUGCGAGCGCAGUGGGGAGCUUAAUGUAUGCGAUGGUUGGAUCUCGACCAGACUUAGCGCAUGCGGUGGGAGUAGUCAGCAGGUUCAUGGGAAACCCAGGAAGGAAACAUUGGGAAGCUGUGAAAUGGAUAUUCAGAUAUGUUAAAGGAACAUUGGACUUUGGGUUAACCUUCACAAAGAACACUGAGUUCAAGGUAGUGGGUUAUACAGAUGCUGAUUAUGCUAAAGACUUGGAUCACAGAAGAUCAGUCACAGUGUAUGUAUUUCAGGUUGGAGGAAAUACAGUUAGCUGGAGAUCAGGGCUCCAACACAUUGUAGCAUUAUCGACUACAGAAUCUGAAUAUAUGGCACUAACAGAGGGCUUUAAGGAAGCUUUAUGGUUAAAGCGAUUUGUCAGUGAAUUGGGUUUUCUACAGGAUGAAGCUAAGGUUUUCUCAGAUUCACAAAGUGCUAUUCACUUGGCGAAAAAUGGUGGAUUUCACGAGAGGACCAAGCAUAUUGACACUAAGCUGUAUUUCAUCAGAGAUGUUAUUGAGGCUGGGGAUGUUACUCUACACAAGAUUCAUACAUCAGCUAACCCGGCAGACUUACUAACUAAGGCGGUACCUGGAAACAAGCUCGAGAAGGGGCUUGAAUUCCUGAAGGUGAUCGCCUGAUGAAAGCUUGUGGAAACCUGUAGGGAUUCUUUGUUGAUUUGGAAUCUCGCAGGAUAAAGGAAAUGCAGAAGUGAGCAUUCUGUAUUUAAAAUCAACACAGGAAAUGCAAGAAAAGAGAAUAGUCAGGCGGACUAACUCGUUUUUGUGUGGUUUUGGAUGCACUUUAAAGUGGGUAUUCUCUAUCUCUCCCAUUAAUCUGGAAUUCUAUGUGGAACAUGGGAGAUUAUGAGUUGCAGGAGAUAAAGUAACUGAAGGGAAUUGAGACUUGUCAGAGCUUAGGAAAUUGCACCUUGAAGCUCUGUUGGAUUUUAGAUUUCUUAUUCUGAGAAGGUCAUCGUAGCUCGCGUUCAGUUAGUGACGUUCGUGUAUUGUCGCAGGAGGAACUGAAUUGAAGUUCAAACAAGCUGUUGUUGGUCGGCUUCAAGUAUCGAGAGCUGCAUAAAUGAAAAUCAGAAAUUUAUCAUAUAUCCGAUCUCAAAAGAUGUUAUCCGAAAUAGGAAGUGGCAUCUGGUUAUCUGUGCGUGCAUCAGUUGAAAGGAUAAGUAUUUGUAACAGGCGGUUGCAUCUACUUACCCUUCCAUGCAUCAGAGGAAAACAAGAAGAUUCUUACCUUACAUGUGGCUGACGGAAAGGUAAUGAUCUUGGUUGAUUGGCUUCACUAUCAAAUCUUCAGGUUUUGUGGUUCAGAUGGUGAUAAUGAACAGAGGAAUCACCUGGAAAGUCAUGAGCUUAAAUCUGAGAAAGAUUGCUAUGACAUAUCACUGACACAAGGUAAAGAAGAAAGGAUCUCACCGGCGUUACAUGCAAGGAUGGCUACACAAUUUUUGAGAGACAUCAGAUAUGCAACAGAGACAAGAGGAAGCUCAGGAGCUGAACGUCGCGGUGGAGUGAGAUCAAGGAAUCUGAGAAACCGAGGAACAAAAGCAAACGUCGGUUGGUGAUUAGGUCAAAGGUGGAGAAUGUGAAUGUUGACUCUAAUCACGUACAAGCAAGAUGGGCCUUAAUCAAUGGAACUGCAAGAAAAAUGGAGACUGGGUUUAUUCACAUAUGAAACCCAUCACGUUUUAACAGUAAACGUGAAGCACACAAGGGUUGUGAUAGAGAUGCUUAGUAUAAAUAGAACCUUAUCCUAAGCAUUAAGAACCCUAGCAGUAAUCUCCUGUAUCAAAAAGUGUAAAGAAGAAAUACUAAAAGCUUGUACUUUUCUCAGAUUAUAGUGAAGCUUGAGGGACAAGAGUUCCCUCCCCAGAGGUAACGGUUAGAGGCCAUGAACUGGGUCAAAAGUUUUUGUGUCUUUUACAGUUUAUGCUUACUCUAAAUUGGUUUUAGCAAACGAUCAAACCCUCACAUUAUUAAUAGCUAUAUUUAUUGGGUUGCCUACAUAUCCUAAAUGAGAUCAAGUCUUACCAUAGUUUAGUUUACAAAGUGUAGGUUUUCCCAUCGUAUGAAGAGAUUUUUAGUUUGAUGUUUGGGAUGAGAGCGUGACGAUGCGAUCUGUAAACGACACUUCUGUGUUUCUUCGAUGAACUUAUCGACUUCAGAGGCCGAGCUGGUGGGUUAGUGGAUUCUCGAUUGCAACACCCUGAGGUUUGGAUGUAGCCCGGGCUAUCGUCCAUUUAAGGAUGCCAAUCUCAUUUUCUGGGCUGAUGUUUCAUCGUAUGCAAUGGAUUCAUGGUUGUUGCUGCAGGAUAUGUUAUUCUCCGUGGAGUUUGUUCGUACUCCUAGAACAAUCUUGUGGGCUUCAAGGCAACGAGCCAAUUAAGGAGUUGAUUUGCACCUACUGGUCGGUUUGGAUCUGGGUGAGUUGCUUCAAACGUUGUAGAGCUUGUUGUCCUUUUACAUCCUACUUACUUGUAUGACAUUGAAUCAAAUAUUUUGUAAAUCAGUUGAUACAUGGGAUAGAGUUUCGUCCAGAUGUAUGGUUUGUGCCGCUCGCUGGUGGUGGAAGGAUGGUGGGAGUUCCAUCAGCGUUGAACUGCAGUACAUCCUGCGGAAUGGAACCUGAGAGGUUUCAUGCUCUUGCUGAACCAGAUGCGUCUACUCCUGUCAUUGGGAUGUGUCUACUCUUUUCAUU
rnacentral:lncRNA from 1 species